rnacentral:tRNA from 1 species
CGGGCCGUCCGAUGAACGUCCUGCGGAUGUACAAGGACGUACCCCGCAUCUUCGACGCAUGGGACAUUGACUCCCGCAUUCCGCUGGUUCGAAUCCAGCUGGCCCAACCA